AUUGAACGCUGGCGGCAUGCCUUACACAUGCAAGUCGAACGGCAGCACGGGAGCAAUCCUGGUGGCGAGUGGCGAACGGGUGAGUAAUACAUCGGAACGUACCCAGUUGUGGGGGAGUAGCUCGGCGAAAGACCGGAUUAAUACCGCAUACGACCUGAGGGUGGAAAGCGGGGAGUCGCAAGACCUCGCGCAGUUGGAGCGGCC
rnacentral:rRNA from 1 species